UUGAUGUUUAAACUGUAGGGAUGGAUUCUGUAAGUUACAUGUAAGCAUUUUAUCAUUUGACAUAUGUGACUUGUCAUCUUCAGUGUUUACCAGGGGCCUAGAAACUGUGGAUUCAGAGGAAAUGCUACAGAAGUAAUUUUUUUGUGUUCAGUCUAUGUUUAUGUUACUGUGGCAAAUACAUGAAAGAAAAUUUUAAUGAAGGAAACCUCACUGUUUCAGCAAUUCCAGUCCAUAGUCACUAGGGUCUGCAUUUCUGGAAUUAUGUGUGAUAGCAGGUAAGAGAGAGAGAGAAACAUGAAGGAGCCCCCAGGACAAGAAACGGCCCCCCAGUGACCUACUUCUCCCUUUAAGUUGCCCACCCUCCAAUUUUUUCCAUCUCCCAAUUAUUCCAACAGAUUUCCAGUUAAUGAGUGGAUUAAGCCACAGAUUCUGUGAGGCCUCAUGAUCCAAUCACUGAAGACUAGGUCUACUAUCUCAGACCAAGCUAAACAUGAGCCUUUUGGAAAAUUCAUCAUAUUCCAGUAACAGAAACUAUACAGUAGAAAAGAAAUAGAUACAUAGAUACAUAGACACAUAGAUUUAGUGGAUAGAACAGGGCCAAAGCCAACAUUUUGGAUAUAGUAUUUAAAUAUUAAUAAUCUAUGGGCUAUACCAUAUUCACUGGCAGGCAUGGAUUGAGUCUCGGUAUAUGAUUCCUAGGUUUUGUAGGAGAAAGCUGUCAGCAUCCCACCUGUCGGGAUCAUUGUCUUCCAUGAAAUAAGACAAAAAAAUUCUGCAUGUUUAAAUUUAAGCUGUUGGAUGCCAGUUUUGUGAAAUCAUGUGUUACUGUUACAUUUAACUUUAAAUGUGAUUUUCUAUGUUUUAUGGCUUGAAUUCAAGAAUCGGUCUGAAGGUUUGUUUAUGGCGGGCUUGAUAAGUUUGCUCAUUAAUUCAUAUGUCAAUAGCUGUUUGGAACUAUUCCAUAGUGUAUACAAAUUUAAAAUGUGUUAUACAGAAUAAAUAUGCACAAAUGGCAUGUCAAAAGUAAGUUUAUUUGAGAAAACACAAUAUUUUACAUCAUUUGUGAGUGAGUGUGAGAAGAAAAGAAAGGAAAGUGGCAAACCAGAUGCAGUGUCUGCUUGUCAUCUUAUCACUAGAAAGUUCUAGGACCAUCAGGAGGAGACAGUUCCAAAGAAUAAAGGGGGAGGGGGAGAAUAGGGAGGGAAGAAGAGAAUGAAGAAGGACAGUAUGCAGGGGAAGGGGAGGAGGAGGGAAGAGGAGAAUGAAGAAGAAGGAGAUGUGGGAGGAGUGGGAGAAGGAGGAGGAAGAGGAGAAGGAGGAGGAGGAUGAAGGAAAGGAAAUAAAGAAGAGCUCUGAAGUUAAAGUAGGGAGAUGAAGGUAGAGGGGAGGCAGAGGGGAGGAGGUAAUAUCAAAAAGUGAAAGAAGAUACGUAGAUUCUGUUUCCUUGAGUCUAUGUAAUUCGUUACACAGAUAACUUUUUAACUACUGUGGUGGUUUCUUGUCUUUAUUUCACUGUGUUUAAAUUUUCCUUCCAUCAAACAUUUAGGACAAUAGUCUCUCACAGGGAUUCAAUUAUGCAGUGGUUUGGGGUAGAUCCCAUCCACUUAGAGGCUGUUAUAUUUUCCAUAAUAGCAUAUUCCCCAGUUCACAGCUCAGUCUUGAUAAAUUCGUAAUGAUGCCUGACAUUCUGUAAGAGAAGACCCCAUAGGUAAGAAACAACUCUAUACUGAUGCUAAAUAUUAGCGUUACAUAGUAAUAAAAGAACAAAAAUAAUUUCAGAUGAAAUGAACAAUCGAUUGGGUGCAUUAAAUGUGUCUUGUAAUUAUUAUAUAUUUAACAUGACCUCAAAAUUAGAUCAUUUAAAGUAUAAUAUUUUACACAGAUAAUGGUUAUAAUGAAAGGAUGUAUAUUGUCUGUAAUGCAAUGGUACACAAAUAUGGAAAAUUGAUUUUGAGAGUUGUUGAUAGAAAAUACCACUAUAAUCUAGUUUAAAUACAAAUACUGGAAAAAUAAUCUAACAUGACAUUUCUAACAUUUAAUUAGUAUUAAAUAAUAUACUUGGUCAGUAAGUGAUGUUAAGCUGUUUAAAGUUUCACCCGCUGCUUUUAAGAUUGAUUUUCAUCAAAAUGACUGUAGUAAAAUGUUUUCUUUUGUUGUACAGACUCAAAUAGCAAACCUCAAUUUUAAAAUCGGCUCUUAUUUGC
rnacentral:lncRNA from 1 species